rnacentral:tRNA from 1 species
GAUCCCGUAGCUCAGUCGGUAGAGCAAUUGACUUUUAAUCAAUGUGUCGCGCGUUCGAUUCGCGCCGGGAUCA